rnacentral:tRNA from 1 species
GCGGGCAUAGCUCAAUUGGUAGAGCACCAGCCUUCCAAGCUGGGGGUUGUGGGUUCGAGUCUCAUUGCCCGCUCCA